rnacentral:rRNA from 1 species
GUGAGGUAAUGGCUCACCAAGGCGACGACGGGUAGCCGGCCUGAGAGGGUGACCGGCCACACUGGGACUGAGACACGGCCCAGACUCCUACGGGAGGCAGCAGUGGGGAAUAUUGCACAAUGGGCGCAAGCCUGAUGCAGCGACGCCGCGUGAGGGAUGACGGCCUUCGGGUUGUAAACCUCUUUCAGUAGGGAAGAAGCGAGAGUGACGGUACCUGCAGAAGAAGCACCGGCUAACUACGUGCCAGCAGCCGCGGUAAUACGUAGGGUGCGAGCGUUAUCCGGAAUUAUUGGGCGUAAAGAGCUCGUAGGCGGUUUGUCGCGUCUGUCGUGAAAGUCCGGGGCUUAACCCCGGAUCUGCGGUGGGUACGGGCAGACUAGAGUGCAGUAGGGGAGACUGGAAUUCCUGGUGUAGCGGUGGAAUGCGCAGAUAUCAGGAGGAACACCGAUGGCGAAGGCAGGUCUCUGGGCUGUAACUGACGCUGAGGAGCGAAAGCAUGGGGAGCGAACAGGAUUAGAUACCCUGGUAGUCCAUGCCGUAAACGUUGGGCACUAGGUGUGGGGACCAUUCCACGGUUUCCGCGCCGCAGCUAACGCAUUAAGUGCCCCGCCUGGGGAGUACGGCCGCAAGGCUAAAACUCAAAGGAAUUGACGGGGGGCCCGCACAAGCGGCGGAGCAUGCGGAUUAAUUCGAUGCAACGCGAAGAACCUUACCAAGGCUUGACAUGUUCUCGAUCGCCGUAGAGAUACGGUUUCCCCUUUGGGGCGGGUUCACAGGUGGUGCAUGGUUGUCGUCAGCUCGUGUCGUGAGAUGUUGGGUUAAGUCCCGCAACGAGCGCAACCCUCGUUCCAUGUUGCCAGCACGUCGUGGUGGGGACUCAUGGGAGACUGCGGGGUCAACUCGGAGGAAGGUGAGGACGACGUCAAAUCAUCAUGCCCCCUUAUGUCUUGGGCUUCACGCAUGCUACAAUGGCCGGUACAAUGGGUUGCGAUACUGUGAGGUGGAGCUAAUCCCAAAAAAGCCGGUCUCAGUUCGGAUUGGGGUCUGCAACUCGACCCCAUGAAGUCGGAGUCGCUAGUAAUCGCAGAUCAGCAACGCUGCGGUGAAUACGUUCCCGGGCCUUGUACACACCGCCCGUCAAGUCACGAAAGUCGGUAACACCCGAAGCCGGUGGCCUAACCCUUGUGGGGGGGAGCCGUCGAAGGUGGGACCAGCGAUUGGGACUAAGUCGUAACAAGGUAGCCGUACCGGAAGGUGCGGCUGGAUCACCUCCUUUCUAAGGAGCAU